rnacentral:misc_RNA from 1 species
AAUAAAAAAUUACCAAUUAACACUAAAUUUAACUUAUUACCAUAACUAAAUCAAAAAAUAAUAACAAACAAAUUUUCUAAUCACUUAAAUAUAACAUAAAUUAAAAAUUCUAAACUAUUUCAUUUCAAUAAAAAAUUUCAUACAUAACUAUCAUUUACUAUUAUAUAAAAAAAUCCUAAUCCGUCUAAUCAAAACUAUAAU